GCCUGGGUGGCUCAGUCGGUUGAGCGUCUGACUUCAGCUCAGGUCAUGAUCUCGCAGUUCAUGAGUUCAAGCCCUGCAUCAGGCU
rnacentral:tRNA from 1 species